AAAUUGAAGAGUUUGAUCAUGGCUCAGAUUGAACGCUGGCGGCAGGCCUAACACAUGCAAGUCGAGCGGUAGCACAGAGAGCUUGCUCUCGGGUGACGAGCGGCGGACGGGUGAGUAAUGUCUGGGAAACUGCCUGAUGGAGGGGGAUAACUACUGGAAACGGUAGCUAAUACCGCAUAAUGUCGCAAGACCAAAGUGGGGGACCUU
rnacentral:rRNA from 2 species